UACGUAGGGGCCAAGCGUUGUUCGGAUUUACUGGGCGUAAAGGGCGCGUAGGCGGCAUUGCAAGUCACUUGUGAAAUCUCUGGGCUUAACUCAGAACGGCCAAGUGAUACUGUCGCGCUAGAGUGCAGAAAGGGCAAUCGGAAUUCUUGGUGUAGCGGUGAAAUGCGUAGAUAUCAAGAGGAACACCUGAGGCGAAGGCGGGUUGCUAGGCUGACACUGACGCUGAUGCGCGAAAGCCAGGGGAGCAAACGGG
rnacentral:rRNA from 1 species